CCCGGGGCCCUGAUUAAUGGCGAACGGGUGAGUAACACGUGGGCAAUCUGCCCUGCACUCUGGGACAAGCCCUGGAAACGGGGUCUAAUACCGGAUAUGAUCACCGGCCGCAUGGUCUGGUGGUGGAAAGCUCCGGCGGUGCAGGAUGAGCCCGCGGCCUAUCAGCUUGUUGGUGGGGUGAUGGCCUACCAAGGCGACGACGGGUAGCCGGCCUGAGAGGGCGACCGGCCACACUGGGACUGAGACACGGCCCAGACUCCUACGGGAGGCAGCAGUGGGGAAUAUUGCACAAUGGGCGCAAGCCUGAUGCAGCGACGCCGCGUGAGGGAUGACGGCCUUCGGGUUGUAAACCUCUUUCAGCAGGGAAGAAGCGCAAGUGACGGUACCUGCAGAAGAAGCACCGGCUAACUACGUGCCAGCAGCCGCGGUAAUACGUAGGGUGCGAGCGUUGUCCGGAAUUAUUGGGCGUAAAGAGCUCGUAGGCGGCCUGUCACGUCGGAUGUGAAAGCCCGGGGCUUAACCCCGGGUCUGCAUUCGAUACGGGCAGGCUAGAGUUCGGUAGGGGAGAUCGGAAUUCCUGGUGUAGCGGUGAAAUGCGCAGAUAUCAGGAGGAACACCGGUGGCGAAGGCGGAUCUCUGGGCCGAUACUGACGCUGAGGAGCGAAAGCGUGGGGAGCGAACAGGAUUAGAUACCCUGGUAGUCCACGCCGUAAACGUUGGGAACUAGGUGUGGGCGACAUUCCCGUCGUCCGUGCCGCAGCUAACGCAUUUAGUUCCCGCCUGGGGAGUACGGCCGCCAGGCUAAACUCCAAGGAAUUGACGGGGGCCGCCCCAGCGGCGGACCUGUGGCUUAUUCGACGCACGCGGAGAACUUACCAGGCUUGCCUUCUUCGGUGGUG
rnacentral:rRNA from 1 species